rnacentral:rRNA from 1 species
GGGCUGCAGUCGAGAAUCUUCCUCAAUGGCCGAAAGGCUGAAGGAGCGACGCCGCGUGCAUGAUGAAACCCUUCGGGGUGUAAAAUGCUUUUGUGGAGGAUGAACUAAUGACAGUACUCUACGAAUAAGGGGCUGCUAACCUCGUGCCAGCAGCAGCGGUAAUACGAGGGCCCCAAGCGUUAUCCGGAUUUAUUGGGCGUAAAGGGUCCGUAGGCGGCUCGACGCAUCUCUUGUUAAAUCCUUCGGCUCAACCGAAGGGCCGCAAGAGAGAUGGCCGAGCUAGAGACCGGAAUAGGCAAGCGGAAUUGCUGGUGUAGGGGUUAAAUCCGUUAAUAUCAGCAGGAACACCGAAUGCGAAAGCAGCUUGCUAGAACGGUUCUGACGCUCAGGGACGAAAGCGUGGGGAGCGAACGGGAUUAGAUACCCCGGUAGUC